GUUUNNUUGAGAGUGCAGCACUAAGUGGGUGGUAAACUCCAUCUAAAACUAAAUAUAACCAUGAGACCGAUAGUAAACAAGUACCGUGAGGGAAAGUUGAAAAGAACUCUGAAUAGAGAGUUAAAUAGUACGUGAAACUGCUUAGAGGUUAAGCCCGAUGAACCUGAAUAUCCAAUAUAGAAAAUUCAUCAUUAUGACUCUAAUAUUUUUAAAUAUUAUAAUAAUAGUGUGCAUUUUUUCUAUAGAGGACAUUGUAAUCUAUUGAUAUAAAAGAAAUUUAUUAUAAGAUCGAUUGCGCAAGUUUAUUCAAAUUAUUUUGUUUACAAUUUAACAUAGAAUAAAUGCUCUCGAUUUGAUAAAGUGUUGAUAGAUUUAUUAUAUAUAGUGCUUGAAUAUUUUAAUAUUCUAUAAUAGCAUAUUAAUUAUUAAUUUUUAUGUUUAUUUUAUGCACUUAUAUGAUUAACAAUGCGAAAGAUUCAGGAUACCUUCGGGACCCGUCUUNNAA
rnacentral:rRNA from 1 species